ACCUACCUGACUUACAUCAAGCUGUCAAUGGCAAUCAAGCGUAAUGAGAGCAUGGCCAAAGGUCUGCAGAGGGCUCUGCUGCAGCAGCAGCCAGAGGAUGACAGCAAGUGCUUCCCCCGGCCCCAGGACCUGAUCCGGCUUUAUGACAUCAUCUUACAGCUGACCCUUGAGGACCGGGAAGGUCUUCUGUGAAAAAUUCAACCUAAGAUCUACUCUUCAUGAAUUUUCUUGUUGCAUCUGUUGUACAGAAUCUGGUGGAAUUGCUCCAGCUUCCUGGUUUAGAGGAAGACAAAGCCUUCCAGAAAGAGAUAGGCCUCAAGAUUCUGGUGUUCAAAGCUUACAGG
rnacentral:lncRNA from 1 species